UGAUCAAGGCCAAGAAGACCGACCUGAAGCACAACCUGCUGGGCGUGAUGGACGAGGAGAAGAUCCGCCUGCGCGAGGAGGUGAACGAGCAGAUCCGCGCGCUCAGCGAGCUCAAGGAGAUGGGCGCCGCCUACGGCUUCGACCUGAGCCGCCCCGCCGCCAACUCGCGCGAGGCGGUGCAGUGGCUGUACUUCGGCUACCUGGGCGCCGUCAAGGAGCAGGACGGCGCCGCCAUGAGCCUGGGCCGCAUCGACGCCUUCCUGGACACCUACUUUGAGCGCGACCUCAAGGCCGGCACCAUCACUGAGGCCGAGGUGCAGGAGCUGAUCGACCACUUCGUCAUGAAGCUGCGCAUCGUGCGGUGAGCCCGGUUUGGGCGCUGGCAGGGCGGGGCUGUGGGUCAAGCAGCGGGUGCAUGGGGGCGCAUGCAGUGUUCCAGUGCAACGCCACUUCCAAGCCUUUCCUUACCGCACGUUUGUGCGCUCCUUGCCUUGCCUUCCGCCGCCCGCAGCCAGCUGCGCACGCCCGAGUACAACGCGCUGUUUGCCGGCGACCCCACCUGGGUCACCUGCGUGCUGGGCGGCACUGACGCCAGCGGCAAGGCCAUGGUCACCAAGACCAGCUUCCGCCUGCUCAACACCCUGU
rnacentral:lncRNA from 1 species